UACGAAGGGGGCUAGCGUUGUUCGGAAUCGCUGGGCGUAAAGGGCGCGUAGGCGGCCGAUCAAGUCGGGGGUGAAAGCCUGUGGCUCAACCACAGAAUUGCCUUCGAUACUGUUUGGCUUGAGACCGGAAGAGGUAAGUGGAACUGCGAGUGUAGAGGUGAAAUUCGUAGAUAUUCGCAAGAACACCAGUGGCGAAGGCGGCUUACUGGUCCGGUUCUGACGCUGAGGCGCGAAAGCGUGGGGAGCAAACAGG
rnacentral:rRNA from 1 species